GAUGAACGCUGGCGGCGUGCCUAAUACAUGCAAGUCGAGCGAACAGAUGAGGAGCUUGCUCCUCUGACGUUAGCGGCGGACGGGUGAGUAACACGUGGAUAACCUACCUAUAAGACUGGGAUAACUUCGGGAAACCGGAGCUAAUACCGGAUAAUAUAUUGAACCGCAUGGUUCAAUAGUGAAAGACGGUUUUGCUGUCACUUAUAGAUGGAUCCGCGCCGCAUUAGCUAGUUGGUAAGGUAACGGCUUACCAAGGCAACGAUGCGUAGCCGACCUGAGAGGGUGAUCGGCCACACUGGAACUGAGAAACGGUACAGAAUCCUACGGGAGGCAGCAGUAGGGAAUCUUCCGCAAUGGGCGAAAGCCUGACGGAGCAACGCCGCGUGAGUGAUGAAGGGCUUCGGAUCGUAAAACUCUGUUAUUAGGGAAGAACAAAUGUGUAAGUAACUAUGCACGUCUUGACGGUACCGAAUCAGAAAGCCACGGCUAACUACGU
rnacentral:rRNA from 1 species